UUUUGCUCAGCAGUCAACAUUCAUGUGUCCUAGAUUCAUGGAACUAUUCAAGUUCAACUAAACCAAACACAAACAGCCCAUGUAACCUGAAACCAUUCCUUUUCAUUCAUUCUACAACCAUGAGGCUACUCAGAAAGUCACUUUCCCACCACCUCUUCAAACCAAUCUCCAUUCCUUUCUGUACAUCCAAAUCUUCACCGCCCCUUUCAUACUUCACAGCUCUCACCAAUCCAUCUCCAAAACAAAACAUUGUUCCCACCAAUACCCACAUACCCAAUUCACCAAAACAAUCAAACCCCACUUUCAAAAAAGCCACACUUCAUGAUCAAAAUCAAAUCUUUAACAAUGAACCCAGUAAUCCAAACUUGUCCAAUUCUUCAAAACAAUCAAAAGCCAUCAAUGCCCACAUAACAAAUUCAGCAAAAAAAUCAAACCCCACUUCCAAAACCACAUUUCUUGAUCAAAAUUACGUCUUUAACAAUGAACCCAGUUAUCAAAACUUGUUUAAUUCUUCCAAACAAUCAAAACCCAUUAUUAAGACCAAGAUUUAUCAUCCAAAUUCAUACAAGUUCAUUCAAACCAGGCCAUUCUCUAGUGGAAACAAUUCGAAUCCUGCUGAUUCUGCAAUCCCUGUUGUUUCCACUAUUAGUUCACCAUUUGAUGCUUCACAGCCUAUUGAUGCAGGCUCUUCGAUUCGAAAACCGAUUAGUCUGUGGCCUGGAAUGUACCAUUCGCCUGUGACAAAUGCUCUGUGGGAAGCAAGGUCGAGCAUAUUUGAAAUGUUGUGGAUACAUCAACUGAUGGGGCUUCACAAGAAGAACUUGUGAAGAAAACUCCGGGGCAAAGCCGUACUAGUAUUGUUUAUAAGUUCUCGUCAGAUUAUAUACUCAGAGAGCAGUACAGGAAUCCGUGGAAUGAGAUUAGGAUGGGGAAGUUGGUGGAGGAUCUUGAUGCUCUUGCUGGAACCAUUGCAUUCAAGCACUGCUGCAAUGAUGAUGGCACAACAAGACCUUUGCUAUUAGUUACAGCUUCUGUUGACAAGAUGGUUCUGAAGAAACCCAUCCAAGUUGACGCUGAUUUGAAAAUAGUUGGUGCUGUUACAUGGGUUGGGCGGUCUUCCAUGGAGAUUCAACUAGAAGUGACUCAGUCCAAGAAAGAGGCCAGAAAUGGGUUAGAUUCACUAUCUCUUAUAGCUAACUUCACAUUUGUGGCUCGGGAUUCCAACACCGGAAAAUCAGCUCUAGUUAAUCAGGUCUCACCUAAAAGUGAACAAGAGAAGAUACUUUGGGAGGAAGCAGAAGAAAGGAACAAGCUUAGGAAAAAGAGGAGAGCAGAACGUAAAAAAGAUUUUGAGAAUGAAGAUUCAGAUAGACUCAAUGCAUUGUUGGCCGAAGGGCGAAUCUUCUGUGAUAUGCCAGCAUUGGCAGACAGAGAUAGCAUCCUGAUUAGGGAUACUUGCCUUGAUAACUCUUUUAUUUGCCAGCCACAACAAAGGAACAUCCAUGGUCGUAUUUUUGGAGGAUUUUUGAUGCGAAGAGCAUUUGAACUGGCCUUCUCAACAACUUAUGCCUUUGCUGGUGUGCAACCACACUUUCUAGAAGUUGAUCAUGUUGAUUUCUUUAAACCUGUGGAUGUUGGAAAUUUCCUCCGGUUCAAGUCUUGUGUGCUCUACACUGAACUUGAGAACCCAGCUGAACCUCUGAUAAAUGUGGAAGUUGUUGCACAUGUUACAAGGCCUGAGUUCCGGAGCAGUGAGGUGUCCAACAAAUUCUAUUUUACAUUCUCGGUCCAUCCUGAGGCUAUGAGAAGUGGACUGAAGAUUCGGAAUGUUGUUCCUGCUACAGAAGAGGAAGCACGGCGGGUGCUUGAACGCAAGGAUGCUGAGGGAUCUUAGUUUUGUAAAUCAUGAAUACAUCUUUCUUCUUCAUGAAAGAAUGAAGCACAAGUGAAGAAAGUGUUACAGACUUUUCUUGAUUUUGAAAAGAUUAUCUUAGCUUGGACCACAGAAAAUCAGUAACAUUUUGGGAUUGGAAAGUAAACCAUUUGUGAUAUGUGGUUUACAAGAACAGUCGGUCCCUUCUUAGCUCAAGUGAGAACAAUAGAAAUUGGGAAAAAUUUAGAUACAAUUUCUUAGGUGUUGUAUCAUAGGUUCUUCAAUUAAAUCUAACAAUUUGAUUGCAUUGAUCAAUAUAGCAAAAAUAAUGUUAUCCUCUCCCAAGGAUAAUUAAUUAAA